rnacentral:lncRNA from 1 species
UCAGAGAUUAGAUUCAUUCUACGCACGCACUGUGCUACCCGACUAUUACGGCUUUGCAAAAAAUUUUAUAAAAUGGGUAUUGUAGUACUUUCGUUUAUAUUUAACAAAUAUUAUAGAUUAAAUAAAUUUAAAAAAUUCAUUUUGUAAAUUAUAGAUAAACUGUACAGUUAAUUAUUAUUUAUAUUUAUAUUUAAUGAUUCAUGCGUAUGCCGUAAGAUUCGUUGUGACAGAAAAUUUGAAAAAUUUAAAAAUUGUUUGGGAACUAAACAAGGCCCAGGAGUGGUGUGCGUA